GAUGAAGAACGUAGCGAAAUGCGAUAAGUAAUGCGAAUUGCAGAAUUUCCGUGAGUCAUCGAAUCUUUGAACGCACAUUGCGCCCACUGGUAUUCCGGUGGGCAUGCCUGUUCGAGCGUCAUUAUCCUCCCUCAAACCCCGGGUUUGGUGUUGGACCGAAGUUGUGUGAACAACUGGUCUAAAAAACAAUGACGGCGUCCGUGGGACCCUCGGUGCAACGAGCUUUUAGGAGCACGCGCCGAGUUGCAAGGACCUUCCGGGCCGGUCUCCUUUUACUAUUUUACAAGGUUGACCUCGGAUCAGGUAGGAAUACCUGCUGAACUUAAGCAUAUCAAUAAGCGGAGGA
rnacentral:misc_RNA from 1 species